rnacentral:rRNA from 1 species
AGUGAACGCUGGCGGUAGGCCUAACACAUGCAAGUCGAACGGCAGCACAGUAAGAGCUUGCUCUUACGGGUGGCGAGUGGCGGACGGGUGAGGAAUACAUCGGAAUCUACUUUUUCGUGGGGGAUAACGUAGGGAAACUUACGCUAAUACCGCAUACGACCUACGGGUGAAAGCAGGGGAUCUUCGGACCUUGCGCGAUUGAAUGAGCCGAUGUCGGAUUAGCUAGUUGGCGGGGUAAAGGCCCACCAAGGCGACGAUCCGUAGCUGGUCUGAGGGGAUGAUCAGCCACACUGGAACUGAGACACGGUCCAGACUCCUACGGGAGGCAGCAGUGGGGAAUAUUGGACAAUGGGCGCAAGCCUGAUCCAGCCAUACCGCGUGGGUGAAGAAGGCCUUCGGGUUGUAAAGCCCUUUUGUUGGGAAAGAAAAGCAGCAGGUUAAUACCCCGCUGUUCUGACGUUACCCAAAGAAUAAGCACCGGCUAACUUCGUG